UAUCAUCGCUUUUAUGACAAG
rnacentral:piRNA from 1 species